rnacentral:pre_miRNA from 1 species
CUCGGGUUAUCAGCUCAUUGCACACAACAAUGUCCACAUUCUUGCGAUUUCAUACGUCACUGGAAUGUUCCAUAAGUGUGCGAAAUCAGCGGUAGCAAAAG